AUGAUGAUAGUCCCUUACUGUCUUCAGCAGCAGUUUGGCGAGGCGGCUGAUUUGCCUAGUCCUUUGUGUGGGAUGUUGACAUCUUUGGUGACAGAUCCAUUGGCUUCAGGUGACAUUGGAUCGUUGGCAGAAAGGGCUGUGUAUUCUACCUUUCCAGAAACCACACCGCUCAGCUCAGCAGAAUUGUAAGUGUGCAUGUUGGCCCCUACCAUAAGGCAAGAUGAGGUGGUCUACUUGAAGUACAAUGGAUGAGCAACAAACAGCUUGUUUUUAGGAGGGCACUGUAUCAUACUACACUUUGUAAUCAUGUUUCUAAUCAGCAAAACAUGAGCAUAAUCUCCCACACAGAAGGUUUAAAGAAUCAAUUUCAAAUAGGUCAGUCUAGAAAGUAAUAUGAAACUGAAAAUGACUUAUAUAGCAUAUGCUCCAGGAACAGUUGGUUUCUUGCACUGUUUCAAGGACGGUCUGAAGCUGGGAUAUAGGCACAAGCCUGUUCCUGGAUUAGCCCUAAUUGUAAGGAAAAAUAGAAAGAAUAUGCCUUGCUGCCCAAAUCCCUGACUGUAAUCCUCUCCAGUGUACAGUUGCUGUUAAUACCAGAUGCAUAGUGGUGAAAUCAAAUUAAAGCACCAUGUUCAGGAUGAGAUGAAUUAUUAAACUUAUGCAUAUGCUUCUGUGGUUCAACAAAUGACUGGAAACAAAUGUUCCAAAUGAAGUAUUUUGACAUAUGAGGUGUUUUAAUGUGCUUGGCUCUUCAGAGAUUCUGCAACAGCCUCUCAGGAACAAGCCUUAGUCCCAGUGUGUGGCGAGCUAAUCCCAACUGUUAGGGAGAAGUCAGAUGAAAACUUGUUUGAAAUCCUGCUUCAAAGGUCAGGAACUACUGCAGUUGUCACAGACAGUUUUGACAAGAAUGUGAUUUGUGCCUCACUGUUUGAACUCCUUUGUAAGAUUUAUGCUGUGGAAAAACUUUCCUGCCAUAUCGGGUUAUGUGGCCAUAUAGAGCAUUUCACCUUUAAGUAGAUUCCCUUCCUUCCCAUGUCCAUCCCUCACCUUUAGCAGAUUUCUUACAGCUGCUGUCUAGAUUGACGCAGAGCUAGAAUUCAGCUGCAGAAGACACUGUCAAUGUAUUGUGACCACAUACACUGUGGGUGUUGUGAAUACUAAAAAGGGGAUCACUUUUAGACCCAAGUAGGGUGCCUUUCCUCCACUACUGAGUAACCAUGCUUAGCCCCACAUAUUUGAAUUUAGGACUAAGGGUUCCCAGGCAGUUGGUUGCUAUACUGUAGUUGCCUGUUGGUAUAGAAAUUAAGGGACACAAAGUGUGCAGCUGGCCCAUUCACCCUUCUUCAUGUUCUCUGGACAGUCCCAAUAUGCGCUCUAAAUCUGCACAGUCCCACUUGGGUAACAUCCAAAGCUAGAUAGGUUAACAUGCACUCCAGCUCCAUGCACACAUCCAGGUUCCUGCUCAUUUCUCUCUUAAGUCCUGCAGUAGUGUCACUUUGGGAUUCCUCACUGCACACAGCUGGAGUAGAAAAAAGCCUGUAUUCUAAUUUGUUUAUUUAAAAAUUUAUAAACCAGAGUCUGAAUCCAUCCAAGUGGUGUGGGGUAUUUAUCUGCUCUAACUUUUGUUAAGUUUUCCCAUUCUUCUUAGUGCACAUUUAAUCUACUCAGUUCCCAAGCACAUCUUGGCCACUCCUUUUUGCUUCCCUUCUAGCCUUUGAUUCAGAAAAUCAAAUUAUUUAGAAAGUGUUCCUCUGGUGGGAGUAAACUUCUACUGGGCAGGCAGAGUUUAUGCCUUGUCUGUCCAGAAGAUGGCCGUCUUAUUGACUUCUGCCACCCCAGUCUUUAGGAAUGAAGUACUAGAGCCUCAUGCCUGUGAGCUCUUUGGGGGAAAGCUCUGGAGUGGCAGAUGGCAUUGAGACCUGGGGUCUCCAAGCCAUAGACUAUCUGCUCAACACCAGCUCCAUCAAACUCUGUGACUUAGCCACUGUUCUAUUCUCUGGGGUAGCAGACUUCCUCCUGGGACGCUUUUGAUACUGGCAGACUUCCCCAGCAGCUUAGGGCAGAGCUUUCCAAACUUGUUGGUGACACACUUUUAAAGUCAUGCAUCAUUUUGCAACACAGUCAUUCAGUUUUACUAGCAAACCAGAGGUUAAACUAACCCCUUUCCAGCCCUGGAGGAGUGUGGGGAGCGUUCACGCAACACACCUGCACAUUGCAGCUGACACACUAAAUGUGUCACGACACACAGUUUGGAAAUCUCUGACUUAGGGGCUUAGUGGUAGUUGUCCAAUGGCCUGCCAAACGUCUGUCACUAAGUGACAUAGCUUUUUGAACUUCUCUCUAAAAAGACAUGGAGAAAUGAAAUGCACUACCUACUUCCUAACAAGAAUCUCAGUAACUGACAACACAAGAAGGCAACUAUACCAACAUGGGCUGCAGUACCUGACACCUCCUGUCCAGUGCUGAAGUUUGCUGCUUGGUCUCCACAACUUCCCUUGGCAGGGGGAGUU
ensembl:lncRNA